rnacentral:rRNA from 1 species
AAAAUUGCACAAUGGGGGAAACCCUGAUGCAGCGACGCCCCGUGAGCGAAAAAGGCCUUCGUGUCGUAAAGCUCUGUUCUAAGGGAAGAAACGGACGGUCCCUUAGGAGGAAGCCCCGGCUAACUACGUGCCAGCAGCCGCGGUAAUACGUAGGGGGCAAGCGUUGUCCGGAUUUACUGGGCGUAAAGGGCUCGUAGGCGGUAGUUUAAGUCAGAUGUGAAAGUCCAGGGCUCAACCGUGGAAUUGCAUUUGAAACUGAAUUACUUGAGUGCAGGAGAGGAGAGCGGAAUUCCUAGUGUAGCGGUGAAAUGCGUAGAUAUUAGGAAGAACACCAGUGGCGAAGGCGGCUCUCUGGACUGUAACUGACGCUGAGGCGCGAAAGCGUGGGGAGCGAAC